rnacentral:rRNA from 1 species
AGAGUUUGAUUCUGGCUCAGGACGAACGCUGGCGGCGUGCUUAAGACAUGCAAGUCGAGCGGAGCAUUUGGGAGCUUGCUUCUAGAUGCUUAGCGGCGGACGGGUGAGUAACGCGUGAGCAACCUGCCCUAUACAUCGGGAUAACGUUUGGAAACGAACGCUAAUACCGAAUAUGACCACAACCCCACAUGGGGAAGAGGUGAAAGGGUUUACUGGUAUAGGAUGGGCUCGCGUCUGAUUAGCUUGUUGGCGGGGUAACGGCCCACCAAGGCGACGAUCAGUAGCCGACCUGAGAGGGUGAUCGGCCACAUUGGAACUGAGAUACGGUCCAGACUCCUACGGGAGGCAGCAGUCGGGAAUAUUGGGCAAUGGAGGAAACUCUGACCCAGCAACGCCGCGUGAAGGAUGAAGGUCCUCGGAUUGUAAACUUCUGUCCUAUGGGAAAAAUAAAGUGAUGGUACCAUAGAAGAAAACCCCGGCAAACUACGUGCCAGCAGCCGCGGUGAUACGUAGGGGGUGAGCGUUGUCCGGAAUGACUGGGCGUAAAGGGUGUGUAGGCGGUUUAUUAAGUUGAAUGUGAAAGCCCGGGGCUUAACUCCGGAACUGCAUUCAAAACUGGUAGACUAGAGUGUGGGAGAGGUAAGUGGAAUUCCUAGUGUAGCAGUGAAAUGCGUAGAUAUUAGGAGGAACAUCAGUGGCGAAGGCGACUUACUGGAACAUAACUGACGCUGAGGCACGAAAGCGUGGGGAGCAAACAGGAUUAGAUACCCUGGUAGUCCACGCCCUAAACGAUGAUUACUAGAUGUUGGUGGUAUCGACUCCAUCAGUAUCGAAGCAAACGCGAUAAGUAAUCCGCCUGAGU